GUAGUUGACUACUAGCAGUAAAAGCAACUCUGCAACAAAUCUCUCUCUCUGAGCAGCAAUAAUUGCCUUCAAGUUGUACACUUCUAUAUCAUUGUAAGCUUAGCUAGCUAGCUAGCUCAUUUCCAUCUCUUAAACUGCCAUCGCAAGUCUUUUCUUUGUACCAAACACAAUCAUCCACUUAUAUUCUUGAUACAAGCCAUCAACUGUGGCCACUUCAACUCCUAGUACCCUCACCACCGCCAAAACAUGGCCACCACCGCCACAUCCAGUUACUACCACUACCACUACCUUCCCACCUGAUCAUACAAGCAUGUUAGGCCUUCACAACAUACUCUUUAUAGCUCCACCACCUUCUUUUCACCACCACCAGCCUCCACACAUUCCCUCUACUCACCAAAUAGCCAACACCAAUGAUCAAUGUAACAUUGCAAACAAUCAAGAGUCUUGGACCACUCUCAAUAAAUAUCAGCAAAAAUCUAGUUUUUUUAAAAGGGGUGAUUUAAAUGUUGUUGGGGAUAAUGAUACUGGUAGGAAUAUUGGUCCUGCAAGAGCUUGCAGGGACUGUGGAAACAGGGCAAAGAAAGAGUGCCAGUAUAGGAGGUGCAGGACUUGUUGCAAGAGUAGAGAGUAUGAUUGUACCACUCACAUGAAGAGCACAUGGGUGUCUGCUGCGAGGAGGCGAGAGAGGCUUGGUUGUGGCGGUGGCGGUGACUCUUCUGCUUCUUCUGGUGGUGGCUGUGUUGGUGGUAAAAGGCCAAGAGAAAAUGCGACUGCUACAUCUAAUAGUUUUAGUACUUCUAAUAACAAUGCCGCUGCUUCUGUCAAUUUCGAUACAGGCUCCAGUUAUCAGGAUGCAAGCUUCAAACUGUCUUUACCUGGCCAAGUCCGUGAACCGGCAGUUUUCAGGUGCGUUAGAGUAACAGCCAUUAAUAGUGGUGAAGCUGAGGUUGCCUAUCAAGCUAAGGUGAAUAUAAGUGGCCAUGUUUUCAAGGGCAUUCUUUAUGAUCAAGGGAUCGACGAGAAAAACCUGUUUCCAUGUGUUUCAAAAAUGCAGUCUGGUGAAAGGACUAGAGACUCCACCUCGCCAAUUGUUGAACCAUCCGUUGCCUACGCAGCCACAGGGAACCACAGAUUGCUUGAAGCCGACGAGACUCUACGUUGUGCUUAAAUUUACUGCUGGAGCUUGCAGCAGAAUGGAUAAUCUCAAUAAUGUUGGGUUAUGCUUUUCCUUUUUGAUGGAGUGGAAGGAUAUUUGUCCUAGUUAUAAGAUCUAGCCUUGUCUGAUACGUGAUUUGUCAACCCGGGUACUGGCCUCGCCAGGUAAUGGAUGAGAUCCACUGCUGUGUGGUGUGGCUACAAGGCAGAAGGCGUGAAUCCACCUCUUCUCUUAAAUUGUAUGUACUGGAAAGGGAUUUCAUAGUUUUUCCUAGUUUUGCUUCUGAGGUGAAACUUUUUUGCUGUUCUUAAUGCCUUGUUCAGUUCGAAUUUUCCCUCUCUUUAAUGGUGGACAAAGAAAAAUUCUUGGAAGAACACAGUUCUAAAAGUU